GGCUGCCACUUCCAAUUUUCAAGCAAGGUGGGAAACCAACUGUGAUGUAUGAAACACUGCUGGCCAACGUGCACAAUUAGUGAUACAAAAUUGAAUAAUAUAAACUAUUGUAAAUAUGUGUGGACAUUGUGGCAAUUUGGACAUCAAAUAACACUGCCAAAUUCACGAAGAGAAAGCUGUAACCUCAUGGUUGUUAUGAAGCUUAACUUCUGGGUACUAGAACCUAUCAAAAUUUCUCCAUGCCAAUCUGUCCAAACAAACAUUGAGAUGUUUAUUUCUAUAAAAUUCCUAUAGAAUCUUCCUGGGCAUGACCCUUCUAGCCCCAUC
rnacentral:lncRNA from 1 species